rnacentral:rRNA from 1 species
GAUGAACGCUGGCGGCGUGCCUAAUACAUGCAAGUCGAGCGAACAGACGAGGAGCUUGCUCCUUUGAUGUUAGCGGCGGACGGGUGAGUAACACGUAGGUAACCUACCUAUAAGACUGGGAUAACUUCGGGAAACCGGAGCUAAUACCGGAUAAUAUUUCGAACCGCAUGGUUCGAUAGUGAAAGAUGGCUUUGCUAUCACUUAUAGAUGGACCUGCGCCGUAUUAGCUAGUUGGUAAGGUAACGGCUUACCAAGGCAACGAUACGUAGCCGACCUGAGAGGGUGAUCGGCCACACUGGAACUGAGACACGGUCCAGACUCCUACGGGAGGCAGCAGUAGGGAAUCUUCCGCAAUGGGCGAAAGCCUGACGGAGCAACGCCGCGUGAGUGAUGAAGGUCUUCGGAUCGUAAAACUCUGUUAUUAGGGAAGAACAAACGUGUAAGUAACUGUGCACGUCUUGACGGUACCUAAUCAGAAAGCCACGGCUAACUACGUGCCAGCAGCCGCGGUAAUACGUAGGUGGCAAGCGUUAUCCGGAAUUAUUGGGCGUAAAGCGCGCGUAGGCGGUUUUUCGCGUCGUCUGUGAAAUUCCGGGGCUUAACUCCGGGCGUGCAGGCGAUACGGGCAUAACUUGAGUACUGUAGGGGUAACUGGAAUUCCUGGUGUAGCGGUGAAAUGCGCAGAUAUCAGGAGGAACACCGAUGGCGAAGGCAGGUUACUGGGCAGUUACUGACGCUGAGGAGCGAAAGCAUGGGUAGCGAACAGGAUUAGAUACCCUGGUAGUCCAUGCCGUAAACGGUGGGCGCUAGGUGUGAGGGUCUUUUCACGACUUUCGUGCCGUAGCUAACGCAUUAAGCGCCCCGCCUGGGGAGUACGGCCGCAAGGCUAAAACUCAAAGGAAUUGACGGGGGCCCGCACAAGCGGCGGAGCAUGUGGAUUAAUUCGAUGCAACGCGAAGAACCUUACCUGGGCUUGACAUACACCAGAUCGCUGCAGAGAUGUAGUUUCCCUUUGUGGCUGGUGUACAGGUGGUGCAUGGUUGUCGUCAGCCCGUGUCGUGAGAUGUUGGGUUAAGUCCCGCAACGAGCGCAACCCUUGUCUUAUGUUGCCAGCAUUUGGUUGGGGACUCAUGAGAGACUGCCGGGGUCAACUCGGAGGAAGGUGGGGAUGACGUCAAAUCAUCAUGCCCCUUAUGUCCAGGGCUUCACACAUGCUACAAUGGUCGGUACAACGCGCAGCGACACUGUGAGGUGGAGCGAAUCGCUGAAAGCCGGCCUUAGUUCGGAUUGGGGUCUGCAACUCGACCCCAUGAAGUCGGAGUCGCUAGUAAUCGCAGAUCAGCAAUGCUGCGGUGAAUACGUUCCCGGGCCU